rnacentral:rRNA from 1 species
AGUAGAACGCUGAAGCUUGGUGCUUGCACCGAGCGGAUGAGUUGCGAACGGGUGAGUAACGCGUAGGUAACCUGCCUGGUAGCGGGGGAUAACUAUUGGAAACGAUAGCUAAUACCGCAUAACAGUAGAUGUUGCAUGACAUCUGCUUGAAAGGGGCAAUUGCUCCACUACCAGAUGGACCUGCGUUGUAUUAGCUAGUUGGUGAGGUAACGGCUCACCAAGGCGACGAUACAUAGCCGACCUGAGAGGGUGAUCGGCCACACUGGGACUGAGACACGGCCCAGACUCCUACGGGAGGCAGCAGUAGGGAAUCUUCGGCAAUGGACGGAAGUCUGACCGAGCAACGCCGCGUGAGUGAAGAAGGUUUUCGGAUCGUAAAGCUCUGUUGUAAGAGAAGAACGAGUGUGAGAGUGGAAAGUUCACACUGUGACGGUAUCUUACCAGAAAGGGACGGCUAACUACGUGCCAGCAGCCGCGGUAAUACGUAGGUCCCGAGCGUUAUCCGGAUUUAUUGGGCGUAAAGCGAGCGCAGGCGGUUAGAUAAGUCUGAAGUUAAAGGCUGUGGCUUAACCAUAGUACGCUUUGGAAACUGUUUAACUUGAGUGCAAGAGGGGAGAGUGGAAUUCCAUGUGUAGCGGUGAAAUGCGUAGAUAUAUGGAGGAACACCGGUGGCGAAAGCGGCUCUC